UACGGAGGAUCCAAGCGUUAUCCGGAUUUAUUGGGUUUAAAGGGUGCGUAGGCGGAUUGAUAAGUUAGAGGUGAAAUGUCCGAGCUUAACUCGGGAACUGCCUCUAAUACUGUUGAUCUAGAGAGUAGAUGCGGUAGGCGGAAUGUAUGGUGUAGCGGUGAAAUGCUUAGAGAUCAUACUGAACACCGAUUGCGAAGGCAGCUUACCAAUCUAUAUCUGACGUUGAGGCACGAAAGCGUGGGGAGCAAACAGG
rnacentral:rRNA from 1 species